AUUGAACGCUGGCGGCAGGCCUAACACAUGCAAGUCGAGCGAGCGGCGGAAGGGUGAGUAAUGUCUGGGAAACUGCCUGAUGGAGGGGGAUACGUAAUGGAAACGGUCGCUAAUACCGCAUACCAUCAGAGGUGCCCAGAUGGGAUUAGCUAGUAGGUGGGGUACCGGCUCACCAGGGAGACGAUCCCUAGCUGGUGUGAGAGCAUGACCAUCCACACGGGAACUGAGACACGGUCCAGACUCCGACGGGAGGCAGCAGUGGGGAAUAUUGCACAAUGGGCGCAAGCCUGAUGCAGCCAUGCCGCGUGUAUGAAGAAGGCCUUCGGGUUGUAAAGUACUUGCAGCGGGGAGGCGUUACCCGCAGAAGAAGCACCGGCUAACUCCGUGCCAGCAGCCGCGGUAAUAC
rnacentral:rRNA from 1 species